rnacentral:rRNA from 1 species
UAGGGAAUCUUCCGCAAUGGACGCACGUCUGACGGAGCACCGCCGCGUGAGUGAAGAAGGAUUUCGGUUCGUAAAACUCUGUUGUUAGAGAAGAACAGCGCAUAGAGUAACUGUUAUGCGUGUGACGGUAUCUAACCAGAAAGCCACGGCUAACUACGUGCCAGCAGCCGCGGUAAUACGUAGGUGGCAAGCGUUGUCCGGAUUUAUUGGGCGUAAAGCGAGCGCAGGCGGUCAAUUAAGUCUGAUGUGAAAGCCCCCGGCUCAACCGGGGAGGGUCAGUGGAAACUGGUUGACUUGAGUGGAGAAGAGGAGAGUGGAAGUCCAUGUGUAGCGGUGAAAUGCGUAGAUAGAUGGAGGAACACCGGUGGCGAAAGCGGCUCUCUGGUCUGUCACUGACGCUGGGGCUCGAAAGUGUGGGGAGCGAACAGG